AUUGAACGCUGGCGGCAUGCCUUACACAUGCAAGUCGAACGGCAGCACGGGAGCAAUCCUGGUGGCGAGUGGCGAACGGGUGAGUAAUAUAUCGGAACGUGCCCGGUCGUGGGGAUAACGUAGCGAAAGCUACGCUAAUACCGCAUACGAUCUACGGAUGAAAGCGGGGGAUCGCAAGACCUCGCGCGAUUGGAGCGGCCGAUAUCAGAUUAGGUAGUUGGUGAGGUAAAGGCUCACCAAGCCGACGAUCUGUAGCUGGUCUGAGAGGACGACCAGCCACACUGGGACUGAGACACGGCCCAGACUCCUACGGGAGGCAGCAGUGGGGAAUUUUGGACAAUAGGGCGGC
rnacentral:rRNA from 1 species